GGAAAGAAAACAUGUUAUGUUCAGUUCCCGCAACGGUUUGAUGGUAUUGAUAACCAUGAUCGAUAUGCUAAUCGCAACAUUGUUUUCUUUGAUAUAAACAUGAAAGGCUUGGAUGGCAUUCAGGGCCCUAUGUAUGUUGGGACAGGAUGCUGUUUCAACAGGCAGGCCUUGUAUGGGUAUGAUCCUGUUUUGACAGAAGCCGACUUGGAACCAAACAUAGUGUUUAGAAGUUGCUGUGGUUCAAGAAAGAAGGGAAAGAGUCGGAGCAAGAGUUAUAUCGAUAAAAAGCGGGCUGUCAAGAGAACUGAAUCCUCCAUUCCAAUCUUCAACAUGGAAGACAUUGAUGAGGGAAUAGAAGGUUAUGAGGACGAGCGAUCACUCCUAAUGUCUCAAAAGAGCCUGGAAAAACGAUUUGGUCAGUCACCAAUUUUCAUCGCAUCCACCUUCCAGGAACAAGGUGGCAUUCCAC
rnacentral:misc_RNA from 1 species